GAUAUGUCUUGUACAAUUUCUCAUUGAAAAUUGCCUCAGGAUAUUUGGAGAAGACAUCACUUCCCUCUUGGGCGAGAACUCAAUGAGUCGUGGUAACAGCGAGAAGGCUGCAGUAGUGUCAGGAAAUCCACCUCUUGAAUCCAAGCCAGUGAGAGUGAGAGUGAUUUACAAAAAGGCACAACUGCAGAAUGAUACGAAGACCCCAUCUGGCAUGGUUCCACCCAGCUACCUGUCUACAGUUUUCUAAGUCACUGAAGAGUACCAUCUACAUAAUGACACUUGACUCUUCCGUUUUCUUUAGUUCCUAUAAAAUAGAAAAUAAAAUGAACUGUUUUUCCAAUGAAUGAAAAAUGAGCCCCUUCCAAGGAACUUGCUCAUCCCAUUAGAAUUUUUCUUUUGCCUCAUCUCAUAUUAUCCAUAUUGAGGAAAUCUUCCCACAAAGUAUCUCCUCUGUCUUCAAUACCUACCAUCUCAUAUUAUGUACUUUGUUGCAUUGUAGUGUAUUGCAUAUUUUUAUACUGAUGCAAUAAAAGUAAUUCCAUCACUCAGUGGGUUAGACAACCAUUUUACUUGUUUAUGAUUCAUAUCAACACUUCAGUGGAGGCUCAUCUGAGCAGUUCUGGUCUCAGCUGAGGUCACUUGAGCACCUGCAGUCAGCUGGCAGCUCAUCUGGAGCUAACCUAGGAGUCUGUUUAUUGGUGUUGGCUCUCAGCUGGUCCCCAUGUCUUCAACGAGCUAGCCUGUCCUGCAUAUGGUGGAGGAAGAGUUGCCAGAAGCAAGAAAGGCUUUUCAAGAGUUAAUGUGGGAGAGGACUGUGCAAAGCACCAUGCCAAAGACAGUGAUUUACAAGACAAGGAGGCAUUCAUUAUUUAUUAAGACCACACAUGAUAAUCAAAGCUCAAGGCAGCACCACUACUACACACAUCCUUUUAUUCAUCGGCUUUUAAUCCUCAGUGGAUUAUAAUCAGCAUUUCCUAAAAGGCAUUCAAAGUGUGGUAGGAAGUAUCUUUGAAAUAGUAACUGAUUUUUUACCUCAGGUAUUCUUUGCCUCUAUCCUUGUCCCGGUCUUAAGCUGUCUUACGGACAACUAAAUCACUUCCUCAGGGAAUAGAAGCUAUAGGAGAAUAUGAGGAAAAGGGAGCCCUUUGUUGCUUAUGAGUUUUAAAAAUUUAGCUUUCUAGGAAACAAAACUUACUCAUGGCAUAGAGUAGAAGAUUUAGGUGGAAAUCUCAUGGGAAAAGCCCAAAAUCAUUAGGUACAUGGGACAUCUGCCCCUUUUCCUGGAUAGAAGCCAAAAGAAAGCAGGAAGGCCUCACAGAAUAGCUAAUUGACUUGUCUAAGAAAGACGGGGCCCCUGUGGGUCCACAUAGAGUUUCUUAUACCUCAGCAUGGAACAGAUCAGUAAGAAAAGUAUUCCCAUCAAUUCCAGAAUAGUAUGGAAGAACUACAGAGAGCCACCAGGUUUGAAAGACAUGUCUCAACAACAGUAGUACUGACCAAUUCCCCAGGACCAGAGAACAGUGAGGACAUCUCAGCAGAUGCUAGUAUACAUCAAUGACCCAAAGCAGCAGAUAAGUGCCACCUCGCCAUUUCAUAGCCUUCUAACUCCCUGGCACUAGAAGACUCCAGAACAUAGACACACUCCUGGGGGAAAUUAAGAGAUCCUGAAUUUCUACCAAUCUGGGAACAGAGAAUCAAACUAGACACCAAGCGAGCUAUUUAAAAACACAGAAUUGGACAUUUAUUACAUAUGUCAAUGUAUACAUUGAGGUUGGUAUCAAUAUAUAUAGAAUAUAUGAUCCAAGCACAGUUUUCCUAGAAAGGGUUCCCUGGUCAAAUAGGUUAGGGAAAUUCUGUAUUUUCCUUUUGAAGUCAAAUGCUCCAGUUUUUUCCACACUUAUUUGACAUUGCUUGGCCCUUUUGGAGUAACCCCAUUAAUUAAUGAUCCUGGGAACAUACAUUAAUAAACAUCGCUCUGAAUUUAUUUCUUCUUAACUCACAGAUUUUACCAUUUCACUCACCUGCUAAGAAGCCAUCAAUAGAUCUUUGAAUUUUUUUUUUUCAGAAAAAAAUGUCCUUUUUUAGAUCCUCCACAAUGCAACCUGCUCUAGUAAUCAAUUUUGUCUUCACUCUUUCCCAUUGUAGAUCCUUUGCUUUAGCUAGGUCAGAAACGGUACUGGCCCCUGAAUAAGUCACACUCACUUUUCUAACUAUAAUCCUCACCUCUCCUUGGUCUCUACGUUUCCACCCACUAACUAGGUAGCCAUCUGGGUUCUCCACUCCCAGAAUUUCACAAAGCCUUCCUGAUCUCAAAUUAAUUGUUCUUUACAUGAGCGCUUGCCCCUACUAGACAUUGGCUCGUAUGCUGCUUUGCACCGUCGGGAAUUAUGCCAGUGUGUUCAUACAUUAUUCAGCAAAUCCAAAUUCCUGUGGUAAACAACUGUAUCUUGUGUUAGUUUUAUAUUACUUUUAAUGCCUGGCUAAAUUUCUACUCAAAAAAAUAUGAAUGAAUAUGUUCAAUUUUCGAAGGGUGUAGAGAUUUUAUACACAUUGGUAGCAACUGCAAGUUUUAAAACUGAAGAGGUAGAAUACAGCACAUAUGGAAUUUCAAUGGGUGGCAAUAAGACAUCAUCAGUUUGACCAAUUUUUUUAGAUAUGACUUCACAGCCUUAUUCACAAGUUCUGGGAUAUAUUAUUUUUAUUCAUUAUGUAAAAAAUCUGAUAUCGGUGUGAUGCAUUUGGGAAUAAUUGCAUUUUUGUAUUAAAUUUCUUCUAAAUAUCAACAAUCCAGAAUAAAAGGGGCAAAAAAACAUGGCUGGGCAAUGCAUCUGUGAGUUUUUAAGCCAAGGAAGAUAUUAAAAAAAAAAAAAUUGAAAAGAAGAGGAGCUAGAAAUACCAGAAGGUAAAGAAAAGCUGAAAUUGAACUUAUUUGUCAAUGGCAACUCAAGAGAUUCCUGACCUAGGAAAAUGGUUAAUAAAUGUUAGUAUUUCCUUCAGGAGACUCAAGCAUAAUGUCUCCUUGAGAAUAACAAUUUAUUUCUUAAAUUUGAGGAAAAGAUCCUAGGAACUCUGAUAAACUGUAAAAGAACUUAAUUGCCUAAUCUAGAAUGAAUAAAAGGCAAUUAGACAUUCUGAUAUUGGCCUUUACCGUACCUGGGAGUAAGAUGUGUGUAGUCAUCAGUCAAUCUGCACUUAGUGAUGUAGUUAAGGUUAAACAUCUCCAGAAGUAAAAUAAAGGUACUUAGAAUGACUCUCCUAUUUUAUUCCAGAAAGAAAGCGACUCACAGGCUACCAAUAUCAGCAAAUUAAUAUCAUGGAUGGUUGGGAUUAAUUACCAUGAUAAAUUAAGUGGGAUAUAUAUAUAAUCACUCAAUGUUUAUUCCACAAAAGCAACAUGUAAGAAUUUGGUGAAUGGAAUAUAUAUUAGUACAAGAAGCCACUUCUUUUCAGAGAGCACUGAACGAUGCCUUUUAUAUUUUUCUGUAAUUCUUUCUAUGCUUAAGCCGAAUGGGCCAGUAAUACUCUGAAGAUUUAUAGUGGAUGGUGACUCUAUUUUCCAGUUUUGUUUUGUUUUACUUACCCACAACAUAAUUGGUGCUAAGAAAAAAUUGGCUUCCUUAUGGUCCUUGGCCUAAAUGUCAGUAUUAAUUUAGUUGGCUUAAUCUUUAAAAAAUGGUAUCAUUCCUUUGUCAAAUAAAAGAAACAACUAGAAAACCAAACUGUCAAAGGAAAGUUGUAAUUUCCUAAAAUGGAAAAAGCGAAACUGCUUUGUAAGAAUGGGAGUUUUUCCAAAAUGUAAAAAUAUAAAACUAGUUGGGAAAGAAAAAACAAAACAACACCGUCUUCAGGAUAGUGAUUACCUCUGUGGAAGGAAAGAAUGGGAUUGAGUAAAGGGGGUAAAAAGAAACUCCAAGCACACAUAUAUUAAUUUAAUUUCUUGAAAGAUUUAAAAAUGCUAACAUUUCACCACGUGCUUUACACUUCUUAAGAAAAUGUUAGAGGUGACUUUAUUACAUAAAUAUCCACAACAUACCCAUGCAUACACACACACACACACAAUUUGUAUAUAUAAACAUACAAAACAUUGUUAAAUGAAUAAGUAAACUACAGAAAUUCUUAUCAUUCAGCAAUUUUAUCUUUUUACCAUAGGUUUUGUGAUUCCUCUGUAUGGAUGACCUGGUUCACUCCGUCUAGUAUUCCAUUAUAUGAUAAUGCAUUUAUGUGUGUACACAUCUACCUUGAUCAAACUUUCUAGAGGCUUGCCUAGUUUAUUAGCUUUCAAAGAAAUAGAUUUUAAAAAUCAUCUCCAUUAAUGUUUUUUCCUAGGUUAUUAAUUUGUGUUUUGCUUUUACCAUUCUAUUGCUUCAACUUUCUUACUGUUUUCACUUCUUCAUCUAGCUUCUUGGAUUAAAUG